GUGAUCGCUUAGGCAGCACAUAUACUAAAAUUGGAACAAUAUAGAGAAGAUUAGCAAGGCUCUUUCACAAGGGUGACUUGCAAAUUUGUGAAGUGUUCCGUAUUUUU